UGACCCUGGAGGACAAGAGCAUUCUUCUGACAAGUUUUAGCAUGGACUAUCCUCAGGAAAAUGAGAUCCAGGAAGAGUGACGCCCUCCUCGAACUGAAAGAUACUCAGGUUGAUGGAGUCAGGGACGAAGUGGCUUAUCAACAACACAGGAUGUCUGCAGGGAACAGAACUUAUUCAGACAUGGCCCAGAUUGUCUGCCCGUGGGGACUGAGGGACCUCUGAGGGUUACAUCAGGAAGGAAGGAGAGGCUGUUUCUACAGGUGCCACAGAAAAAUCGAUGCUGAGCCUCGGAUUAUUGGAUCCCAUAGAACCGUGGAGACUUGGCAGUGAAAUUCUUCCAAAGCAUUCCAUCUGCGCAGGCAGGCAGAGGUUUUCCUGGUUUGGGAAGUAUAAAUCCCGUGGGAAGUCAACUGGAGGACAUUUUACGCGUCACUCAUCCUAUUAUGAGCCUGCUGCUCCUCCGUCUCUUGACAAGUUGGCAGCUAAAGGACAGGAGCAGCAAUAAGGCUUCCUGGCUACAUUUUCAUGGUGCCACCAACUGCGAGUUAAGCUGACAAACAUUUUGAGAGCUCGGCCCAUUUCAUUCCCAGCAGGAUGGCAGGAGUUAACUAAAACAGAAUAAACUAAAAAUUGUGCCUUCAUUGCACAUUUGCACUGAUUAUCAGCACUGAAAAUGGCUAAGUUCUGCUUAUCAAGGAAAUAAUAUGCUCCAGAGAAUCCUCUAAUUCACCGAAAAUGGACUUGGAUAACAUUUGGGUUCUCAUACUACCACAGUCCUCUUGA
rnacentral:lncRNA from 1 species